rnacentral:rRNA from 1 species
AUUGAACGCUGGCGGCAGGCCUAACACAUGCAAGUCGAGCGAGCGGCGGACGGGUGAGUAAUGCCUGGGAAUUGCCCGGUCGAGGGGGAUAACAGUGGGAAACGACCGCUAAUACCGCAUACGAGUGGAUUGUCCAGGUGGGAUUAGAUAGUUGGUGAGGUAAUGGCUCAACAAGGCGACGAGCCCUAGCUGGUCUGAGAGGAUGAUCAGCCACACUGGAACUGAGACACGGUCCAGACUCCUACGGGAGGCAGCAGUGGGGAAUAUUGCACAAUGGGGGAAACCCUGAUGCAGCCAUGCCGCGUGUGUUAAGAAGGGCUUCGGAUUGUAAAGCACUUUCAGCUGGGAGGCGUUACUCGCAGAAGAAGCACCGGCUAACUCCGUGCCAGCAGCCGCGGUAAUUC